UAAAAGUUAUGCUAAAGUGCAAUAAAUAAAUGUAAUAAGUUGUACGAACUGUGCGUCUGGCGGAUGCCAUAAAAUACCGAAAAAAUUUGUGUUGGAAAAUAACCACAUAAAAGAAAAUAUAUAAUUUUUAUUAUAUGUAACUACGUAUACAUAUGUAUGUAGGUACUUUUGUAAGAAAUCGUAAAUCUAACAAAGAGUCGAGUGUAAGAAUAAAUAACAGAAUUAUGAAAAAAGACACCAGGAACCUGCAUGGAAAUAAAUUAGUUGUAAUAUUUCUGUUCAAAACAAAAGCAAAGAAGUAUAAAAAGAAAUUACACCGGCAGCAACAACAAUAACAAUGUGCGACAUGAAAAAUUAAAUAAAGAUUUGGUGAGUGCCCAACUUGUAACCGAAAUCAAGCGUCUACUUAAGGACAAGUGUUGGCACUUACCAUUAUUAAGAGGUAAGGAGUUAUCAUUACACCGUGCCUCCAAUCAGUCCUGCGUCCUCUAUAAGUCAUCUACAUAGACCAGACAACGCGAUGUCAAAAAAGCGUCUGGAAUAUCAUCAACAAAGAUUAAAAACGGCAGUGUCCCGAAAUGGUUACCUUGAGAUACACCUGAGGUAACUUUGAUGGCAUCAGAUGUUGUAUUAUUUAUACGAACGAACUGAGUUCUACCAGUGUGAUAAGAUUCAAAUCACUUAAGUAAGCUAGGGUGAAAACCAAUUGAACCCAACUUGUUAAGUAGGUUACUAUGGCUGACUCGCCUCGAAAAGUUUCAAAUUAUUUUGAACACAAUUUGCGAAUAAACGUAAAUUCGUAACGGUAGAUCUACCCUUAAAACAGCUAUUUUGAUAAGGCUAUAUGAGAUCUGAAAUUUGGAAGAAAAUCAAAUCGUGAACCAAAAACUGGGUAUUUUAUUGAAAAUAUAACUGCUGCAGAGCAAAGUGUUACUGAAGAACCUUCAAUAUCGAUAUCUCUACGUUUUCAACAAUUAAGGAUUCAUCCACUGUUUGGCGUACUUUACCUGUAAACGUACAUACAUUGAAUAAAAAUAGUCAAACCUGAAAGAAUUAAAAUUUUUGUUAUGUUUGA